rnacentral:rRNA from 1 species
ACGGGGCCCGCACAAGCGGUGGAGUAUGUGGUUUAAUUCGAUGCAACGCGAAGAACCUUACCUGGUCUUGACAUCCCGGAGACCCUUAGGAAACUAGGGGGUGCUUCCAUCUGGAAGAAUCUGGAGACAGGUGCUGCAUGGCUGUCGUCAGCUCGUGUCGUGAGAUGUCGGGUUAAGUCCCGCAACGAGCGCAACCCUUGCCUUUAGUUGCCAGCAGUUCGGCUGGGCACUCUAAAGGGACUGCCGGUGUUAAACCGGAGGAAGGUGGGGAUGACGUCAAGUCCUCAUGGCCUUUAUGACCAGGGCUACACACGUACUACAAUGGCCGAUACAAAGGGCAGCGACACUGCGAGGUGAAGCCAAUCCCGUAAAAUCGGUCUCAGUCCGGAUUGGAGUCUGCAACUCGACUCCAUGAAGUUGGAAUCGCUAGUAAUCGUGGAUCAGCAUGCCACGGUGAAUACGUUCCCGGGCCUU